rnacentral:tRNA from 1 species
UGUAAAUAGAUGUAUGAAGCAUAAGGAUUUUUGAUUUCUUAAGAUUAAGUUUAAUUCUUAAAUUUACAG